rnacentral:rRNA from 1 species
UACGUAGGGUGCAAGCGUUAAUCGGAAUUACUGGGCGUAAAGCGUGCGCAGGCGGUUUUGUAAGUCUGACGUGAAAUCCCCGGGCUCAACCUGGGAAUUGCGUUGGAGACUGCAAGGCUAGAAUCUGGCAGAGGGGGGGUAGAAUUCCACGUGUAGCAGUGAAAUGCGUAGAUAUGUGGAGGAACACCGAUGGCGAAGGCAGCCCCCUGGGUCGAAGAUUGACGC